UGGGGAAUAUUGCACAAUGGGCGAAAGCCUGAUGCAGCAACGCCGCGUGAGUGAUGAAGGUCUUCGGAUUGUAAAGCUCUGUCUUUUGGGACGAUAAUGACGGUACCAAAGGAGGAAGCCACGGCUAACUACGUGCCAGCAGCCGCGGUAAUACGUAGGUGGCGAGCGUUGUCCGGAUUUACUGGGCGUAAAGGGUGCGUAGGCGGAUGUUUAAGUGAGAUGUGAAAUACCCGGGCUUAACUUGGGUGCUGUAUUUCAAACUGGAUAUCUAGAGUGCAGGAGAGGAGAAUGGAAUUCCUAGUGUAGCGGUGAAAUGCGUAGAGAUUAGGAAGAACACCAGUGGCGAAGGCGAUUCUCUGGACUGUAACUGACGCUGAGGCACGAAAGCGUGGGUAGCAAACAGGAUUAGAUACCCUGGUAGUCCACGCCGUAAACGAUGAGUACUAGGUGUAGGAGGUAUCGACCCCUUCUGUGCCGCAGUAAACACAUUAAGUACUCCGCCUGGGGAAGUACGAUCGCAAG
rnacentral:rRNA from 1 species